GCUCCUCUUUUGCUCUCCUUUCUUUUUUUUCUUUCCUCCCCUUCAAUCUUCAUCUUCCUCUCCCUUUAACCCCUUUUCUCGCCGCUUAAAUGCAAGCAUCGCGCGGCACGAGUCAAACAGACGCGUUUCACGCGUAAUUUAACCCAUGGCUCUGCGUGAAAACGAACACACAACCGUGUGUUUCCACGCCCUUUGUGCCCCCUCUUCUGCUCUGGACGUCGACGCGACUUUGACUCCACGGAGGCGGACACGUAGACAUCCCCUUAUCCCCUUUGGAGCCAACAAAGCCUCGAGAUCCGUAUGACUUGGGCCUGGAUAAUAUACACGUAUCCGAGGUCCUGAUGGCUGCAGUCACGCUUCUCGAAUAAAAUAUCAUCCCGUCGAGACCGUUACUUUUCCACCUUUUCUCCUUGUGUCCUUCUACCAUGUUUUAUUUAUAAAGACUGCGAGGAUUUUUCUCGAGGAUCGGGAAAACGCCGAAUGGAACGAGACUUAAGCUUGAUUUGCUGGGAAUCGGGGGAAUCUGGAACUGUGGAAUUUUACGCUCGUGGAUUUUUUCGUGGUAAUGGAAGAAUGAUGGAGGAGCUUGUGUCCUAACCUCAAAAUUUAUAGUUUCGAAAUUGGGAAAAAUCGAAAAAUUCAUUUUUCAAUUUGAAAAUAAUAAGUUCAAAUAUAUCGAACUAUUAUGAUGAUCAAAGGAAAUAGAAGAAAGAUGCAAACAAUGGAACAUACAGACGUAUAAAUUGCCGAAAGAAAGAAAUCUUUUAUUUUCUUCCUUUAUUUCUCUUAUAUCGGGAAAUUCUUUCCCUCGUGAAAAAUUCACGAAAUCGGCUGGAAAUUUCAAUCGACUGUUUCUCAAUUCUUUAAGAAAAGCUUCGACAAAGAAAACAUCUAAAUUUAUUGGAACAGGAACCGCUUAGAAUCAAAAUGAAACGGAAUAUUCGAUUAUCAAAAAUCUCUGAAGAAAAGUAAUCAGAUAUAUUUCUCUACGAAGUUGAUCUAAAGCUCCUUCCUUGAUUCCAACGAGGUAUCCGGGACAAAUGUUUGCCAUCAAUCAAAGUGUAUGUAACGAUUAAUCCAUCACGUAUAUCAUCGCACUGCGAGAAUUGUCGGGAAGAUUAUAAGAGAUUUCUAUAUCGUGGGACACACGCUCGAGACACAACUUGCGAAGAUCAAAUUACGCCAUCAUUCACGUAUAUCUCACGUUGUUUCUCGCGAUGUCUCGCGAUAAAAUUGGAAAAUUAGUCAAUCUCGAAGAAGAUUAAAAAGUUAAAAAAAGAUUGAGGAAAUUUAUUUUUGUAUUUCUUAAAAAUUUGAUGUAGAUGAUUACAAAUAUUAAAAAUUGCAUUAAGAAUAUUAAAAAAGCGAGAUAAAAAUAUUGAAUAAAGCAGCUAGUGUUGCUCAAGCUACAGUCUUCAAUAUCUAUAAUUUCUUAGCAAGAAAAUCGAAGAUGAGUUACAGCAAUUUUUAGGAAAAUUUUUGACAAAUAAUUGGAAAUAAAUCGACGAUAUCUCUCGAGAUAAAAAUUUACUGUGUACGAACCAAAGAAGGAGAUAGAGAAGGACGGAAGUUUGAUCAUGUCGCUUAAUUAAAAAUUAAGAUCGUGUCACGAGUGAAAGGAUAUUCCUUUCGGAAUACUUGGCGCGAGUUGCGAACUUUUUACGACUCAUAAAAAUGAAACUAAGUUUUAUAUCGAGGUGAAGGCGUGUCUUGGCCAACCUUCGUGACAAAAAAGAACACUUGAACAUUCGUGGAAAAAAAAAUCGCAAAUUCAAAGAAAAGAAUAAGGAUAUCGUUAUUUCAUACUCGUUAAAAUUAAUUUCUCAAAACGAUAUUACUUACAUGAUGAUUUCACAGAUAACAGAUUCAUUCGAUAUCAUACCAAAAAUGUAUUGAUAAAUGCAAAAAAUGCAAUUGUAAAAUAACGAAAAAUCUAACGAAAUUCAAAAUAUGUUACUUGCAAAAGAAAAUUGAGAAUUCAACUUGCUGUAUGCUUCAAGAAUAGAAAAUCUUGGCAACAAAACAUUAAACACGCCCAAAACGUUCAAACAUCAUAUUUGAUACGAUGUAUCAGCUGUUCCAAUACUCGUAUUACGUAUUUCAAGAAGAUUUUCCUCUUUAAAAAAGUAGAGCCACUUGAACCUUCUUUCCGCACAAAGUAACUCGUUUCGAGUUGUUGGCAAAUUGAAAUCGAUCGAAUCCUCCCCCUUUUCUCCCGGUAUUCCUUUUUACACCACACUCUGAUUCAAUUUCGAGAACAGAUGCAAUCGCUUAGAAGAAGGGAUGGGACUAGGGGAUGGGGCUAAGAAACGGAGCAAAGAGUGGAAACUAUUUUUCCGGGUGAACAACGAGCAGAGGUUCGACGCUCUCUGGUGUGUCAACUAUUAACGCUCGAUUAGAAACGUACCCUUCGUAAAAUUAUCCUUUCCGGCCUUGACUUUGGCGCACCGCCUCCGGACGAAUGGCUUGGCUCUGGUGGAUACUUCUCGCCCAUUCUUUCUCGCAUCCAGAUACUACUUUUACUUCGUUCAAGGGUGCGUCACAAAUCUUGGAAAAGAAUCGUGAGAAUCUGAUUUUCAUCGUUGGAAAAUUAUUGAAAUAGAAAGUUAAGUAAUAUCAGAAUUAUCAUUUGGAUACUGAUGAUAUAAAGGAAAAAAGAAACUGAUUUGGAACUGAUAAUUAGAAAGUGGAUUCAUGGAUUAGCUUCAAUAAUCUUAAUCUUUAGAUCUAAUGGAUGAUUUUGAUCGAAUUGGCCGAGUUAGAGGACGUGAUUUUCGCUUUUAAAUAGUAUUCACAGAUUGAUUGAAAUGCUAAAAUGCUUAUAAGAAGAAGAAAUAACGAAUCAUCGUACUCAAAAGUGAAAAAGUAGAAUAUAACAUAAAAUAUUUAAGUGAGAAAAGUUUUAAAACAGGAUCAUAGUAAUUUCAACUAAAAAUUGGAAUAAUUAGUUUUAUUAUGUUCCAUAUUAUUAUAUUCAUGAAGAAGAAUCUAUAGAAGGAUUAAAACAUGAAGAUCAUCAAUAAAGAAACGAAUCUAAUUUCUCAUAAAUCUAUCACAAAAACCUCGUCAACAAUUCAUCCAAAUUAUUCUUUUUUCAAGUAAGAAAACCAUUCCAAUAAUCAAACGCACUUUUCUAUCAAAGCAAAGGCCACAUGUCCAUUGACCAAUAUCGAAAUCUAUCCCUAAAUUCAACUAGGUUUCCAGGCCAGGCGUAAUUCCGGCCUUCGGUAUAAUGAGAGUGGCCGUAAUUUCGGAGGGUAAGCCGGCUUUCCAUUUGCCAGGAACUCACUCUCUACCCACAAUCUCCUUCGACCAUGGUAUCUCGCUGUCCGUUACGAUUCAAAGAAAGGAACAGUGGAUGGAACCGAACGCGAAUGAUAUCCAGAGACUAUCGAAUGACCUUAAUCCAAUUUCGAUUGGACCUUCAACUAAGGUCCACGAAAUCGACUGCUGUCUCGCGCAAGUGAAUGAAAUUUGAGAUAAUGUGGCUCUGCCUAUAAUGAAACAUGAUUGCAAUUUUAUCCCCUAGCUUUUCUAUCUUCUAGUAUUUAGUAUUAUAAUAAAAAACAUAUAGAAUUGGGCACACAAAAAUAUUCUUUGAGACAUAUUUAUUAAAUUAUAAUCAAACUUAAUAAAAAAAGUAGAAUAUUAAUGUACAAAUAUCUAGAAGAAUGCAUACAAUAUGCAAAAAGGGCAUAAAUCAUAUACAAAACAAGCUAUAAGAUUAUAAUAAUUAGAGGAACGGAUCUUCAUUUCAAUUUCAGUUCAACUUUUUUCAAUUCAUGAAAAUUUGAAUUCACAUAAAUAUCCGCAAUCCAGACGCUUCAAUUUAAGUAAUAAAUAUGUCGCUCACGUUUUCGAAUAUCGUUUUCCAAUUCACCAAGAGCGGACAACUCCAUGGACAGCUGCCCAGGAUCCCUAAAUCUUUAAAAUGGUUCCAGGAACAUCAUCCUUCGCCUUCCUCCUCUGACAUUACCAUACUGGAACACACGCAAAAAUUCUGACCUCGAGGCAGAAGAGGAACGCGUCAGACGUGAGAAACAUCUCUCGAGGCCCCUCGGGUGCUGGCACAAGAAGAUAUUAUCGAUAAAGGGAGUCUUUGGUGGCGCGUUUCCAAUGUAAAAGCGGGCCGGGUCCGCUCGUGUUCGCGCAUAUAAACCUCGUGUACGUGUCGUCACAAUAUACACGAUGGAUCCAUCGUCUCCUCACGUGUUCCUUUCCUAAGCAACAACCCCCUUAACCUACUUAUCCGACAAGGGUGGAUAUGACUCGAGCCGAUUUCAACAAAAUUUGGCAAAGUGGUAUUUCUCUAACAUGAUUGUAAUUGGUAAUUUAGAUGAUAAAACGUAUAUCGUUCACAAAUAUUUGGACACUUUACAGAAUUGUUGUCAGUCUUAGAAUCGAUGCAAUUAUAUGAAAAAUAGUUGUACAACAAUCUUUAUGGGAUUAUUUUAAAAGUUGAAAUCUUCUACUUUCACAUUCGUAAAUUAAAUUUCUUUGAAAAUUACUUUAUUUACAAAAAGUUGAAAAAAUUCAAAAGAACUCCUGAUGGUUAAAAAAAUUUUGCAGCAAGAUUAAUCGUCGAUCAAUUCUCUCUAUCUUCAUGGAUAAGUUCAACUGGAUGAUUAGCAUAGAUGUUUGAACAAUCGUUGAACUUAGUUCAAUAAAACGGGAUUUAGGUAUGGCCAUCUUUGCGAACAGCGUUAAAUGAAGCGAUACCAUUUAACGCCGCGUUUGCUACAGUACUGGGACAAUUUUGGGUUAAAUGAUGGCCCGAUGCGGCCGUCUAAAUGUCCACUGCAAUUUCUACUAAUAUCGUUCUGCUUGCGCUAUUCGUAGCUGUGGUUUUAUCAAGAAAUAUCAAUCAGAAUCAAACGUUUCAAUAAAAUAAAUAAUACUGCAUUUUAACCACAAUCGUGCUUAUUGGUUAGCUGCGAUUCCUAAAAGAAUUCGCUAUACUUCAUAGUAAAU